AACUGGGUUCCUCUGACCGGAAGAACAGGACCAGUCUGGGCCUGGCAAAUUCCAGUUCCUCUUAAGCUGAUCUGUUUUCCUGCACAGAAAAUAAGCCUUGGGAGGCUGAGGCAGGAGGACUGGAGGAGGAGUUGGAAGCCAGCUUGGGUGAUCUACUGAGAUCCUCUCUCCAAAAAAAGAAGAAACAUACAGUGAAACCCAGACCGCCGACACACUUUCUAACCGUGCAGUGUUGUGCAAACUGAAGCCUCGGCCAUCAGCAAAAGGAGCCCCCGCAUGACCCGCUGUCAGGGCACCCUCCGAGUCCUGCUGCCUGCUGGGCCGCUCUGCGUGCGCCUGUGCCCGUCACAGUGCGCAGACUCAUUCGCACGCCAGUCACGUGUCCGCCACUGGGCCCCUGUUGUCCCCUGCCCCGGGCUGCCCAGCUGGUGCACUGGGAUACUGAGGUCGCCUUAGCCCUCCUGGGACUCCGGCCACAGCCCAGCCCCACUGUCCAGCGCUGCUUCAAGCCUCCUGCGAACCCCCUCUUCCUCCGGGGGUCUCUGCAGUCUGAUCUUCGGAUUCUUUUGGUCUGUCUGAUGAUGCAGCAGCGCCGGGCUUGUAACAACUCGCGCUCCUGCGGGACCAAGCUGCGUCUCUAUGCAGGCACAUAGCUCCGGGGUUCGCCUCGGAGCCCCGACUCCCGCACUGCUCCUUAUCUCGGCCUCUUUGUCUCCUGUUGGGCAGAGCCGGAAUCCAGAUCUUCUGACUCUGAAAUUCAGAAUUUUCAAAGCAUUUUGUUAUCUCGGUAGGUCCCCACAACAACCCAAAGUGGGCACUAUUAUUAUUCCCUCCUUUACUGAUUAGGAAAGAGGCUCCCAGAGGGAGAGGUUAAUUCCUUUGCCAAAGGUCACCCGGCUGAUAAGUGACAGAGAGAACCCUAGAAACCAAGCUCCAAAUAAAUGCUCUGUUUAUCUCAGGGCAGUAAUGUUAGCUGGGUGUGGUGAUGCAUGCCUGCGACCCCAGCACUUAGAAGGCUGAGGCAAGAGCAUCUCCAGCUGGGCCACACAGCAAGAGAUUGCCAGAAAGAAAGAAAAAGAAAGAAAGAAAGAAAGAAAGAAAGAAAGAAAGAAAGAAAGAAAGAAAGAAGAAAGAGAAAGAGGGAGAAAGAAAGAUCAAAAUAAGGAGAAAAUAUGAAAAGUCGAAGGUUAAAAACAAAAAAAUAAGGAGAAAAGGAGCAUUGAAAUUAUGUGCAAUUUGUUCUAUACAGAAUUUUUUUCUAUAAAAAAUUAUUUAGCAAUUUCAUAAACAGUGAUUUAUAAGCCAUUGGCGGGUAUGUUAUUACAUUAGCAUGUUGGUAAAGCUCUCCCCAGACAGACUAGGUGUACCUCAGCUGGGACACUAACUACAUUUUUUGUUUGGCUGGUUGGAGUUUUUGAGACAGAGUCUGGCUACAUAGCCUAGGCUGGUCUCAGAUGCAUGCGAUCCUCCUGCUUCAGCCUCCUGAGCACUGGGACUCCAGGCAUGCACCACCACGCUCCCCCGAAUAACUAGUUACUAAAUACAGGAAUGAGCUUUGCAGCCUAUCUGCCAAAUGAUGGCCCAAAGGAUUACUCAGAGAGGGGUUCUCUACAGGCUAGGCCCUGGGCGAUCCUCCCACAGCACUGUGAGCUCAGCGUUUGCUCCCCUGUGGAAGUGAGAGGAAAUGGAGGCUCUGGAAGGAGGCUCUGGAAAGACUGUGAUCACACAGCUGAUAAGGAGCAGGCAGCCAUUCGAAUUUGGACUCUGCAGAUUUGCAAAGCCUGCUUGAAGCCCUGUCUCCCAUGACUCGGUGCAAGGGUGCGGCCUGCGCCAGCCAGAGGGCAGGGUCCCCGCUCUCAGGUUAGGGCCUCUGACUCCUAGCACAGUUCACCCAGGCCUUGCCAGCCUCCUGCCUUGGCAGCAGUGGGUACUCACCUUGCUGCGCUGCGACCCCGCUCAGGACCCCAGCCCAGGGCCAUGCUUGUGUAUCCCAGCACUCAGGAGGAACCUUGCCAGACUGGGCCACACAGUGAGUUUGAGGCCAGCCUAAAAUGCAUGGUGAGAUCCUGUCUCAAAAAGACAAAAAUAAAUAAUAAUAACAAUAAAGAAGUACAAUUUGAGGCCAAAAGCUUGAAAUUUGGAACCAUGCAAUAGUCCUAUAUUCUACUGCUAUUUUUCUUUGGAGGGGGGGAUAGUCUUGUUAUAUAGUUCAGCCUGGUCCUAAACACACUUUGUAGCUGGGGCAGGCCUCAAACUACAGUAAUCCUCCUGCCUCAGCCUCCUGAGUCCUCAGCUGAGGCCCCAGGCACCAGGCUUGCGUCACCAUGCCCAGCACCAUCCCAUAAUUUACUCCUCUCUAGAUGACCUCAGCACCUGCCAGAACAUAAGUGCUGGGUACAGGAUGCUGUUAGGGAAUCAUGACAAAGGGAGGCUCUGUCCGUGUUCAGCAUCGACAGGGCUUUUUCCCGAAUGUUCUCCAUCCGUGGUUGGUGGGACCUGGAGAACUGACUGUACUCGCUGCCUCCACGACCUUCAAAAGUUAUCUCUGCCUGGAAGGCUUUGCUCUUUCCCGCGGUGGACGGGAGAUUCCGAGGCCUCCCUUCUGCAGUUGCUGCAAUGAUGACCACAGCACUGAUGUCAGCCCGCUCUCUUUCACAUGGUCACAUAAGGGUCAAGCCGAGCAUUCUUCAGUUGUGUUAGAAAAAAGAUGUGGGAAGGACUCAGAGAGAAAGGCAGUGGCUGGGCAUGGUGCUGCAUGCCUGUAAUCCCAGCAGUCUGGGAAGCUGAGGCAGGAGGAUGACAAGUUCCAGCCCAGCCUGGGCAAUGUAGUGACUCAGCAUGGAGAGGGGGAGAGGAGAGGAAGAGGAAGGGAAAGACUGCAAGAGAGUCCACCAACGUGGGCUUGCUACAGAGCAAUGGGGGUUUAUUGCUGUUACUGUUGUUUUCUUUUAUUUUCGAGACAGGAUCUCAGUAUGGAGCCCAGGCUGGCCUGGAACUCAUGGCAAUCCUCCUGCCUCAGCUUCCUGUUGGGUCUAUGGGCGUGUGCCACAACACCCAGCAAGGUUAACAUUUUUAACGAGCUAGGUAACUAGAUUUCUUAACUGCAAAAGAAAUGAGUGUUAUGUUAUUCCAGUUUUAUUUUCUGUAUUUUCUGACAGUUUGAAACAAAAACAAGAACCAUUAAAGAAAGGUUUGAUCUCCCUC